GCACAUGGACGCCUGAACAACAUUUACAUUUCCGCAUUGAGAUAAAAAUACCUCCGAACAUCAUUUGAGACAAAAUCGGAUAGCCAAAUAAAUGCGAGAGAAGAGCUGUAGCUUAGCAAAACAGAACCAACGAAGCACAACCUCAAACUCCAAACCGAAAUCAGAAUUUGAAUGCCCGGGAGUUGAAGAGAUGGAGCAUCAGUCACCAGCAGAGCCUUCGAAAUUCUCACUCGAAUUCCAUGAGUUGAAAUCAAAACAGAAGCAAAGUUCUCCUUGUU
rnacentral:lncRNA from 1 species